AUUUAAGAAGGGAUGGAUGUUUGCUUCAAGUGAUGAUAGAAUCACUGAAGGAAAGAGAAACGCAAUUGACUUCAGCUACAGCCUACAGAAUGUGAAUUGACCUGUUGUGAAGGGCAUCCCUGGGUUCAGCACUUCCAGACCCACAUCCAGGGACCAGUAGCAGCAACACCUUCAUUACUGGAGUCCACAUGUACAGAAAGGUCUACAGAAGAGUCUGCAUAAAGCAGUGAUACAGAGGUGGGCA